AAAAGUGCAAAAAUCAUCGCUGGUGAGCAAUGCCGCCAUAUUCAAAAACGAAAAAAACGUCCGUCUCAGAGACACAUUUUUAUCCGAAAUUACACAAGCCUCGAUUUCGGUAAAAUGACGUUGAAGUUGACGUCACUUAAUUAGAUAUUUGUUUUCAUUAAUUUGUUUUUCAAGCAACAGCCAUUAGAGCUAGUGUUAAAAUCAAUAAUAUCGGAUGAAGAUUUUUAAGUUUAAACGUUUCAACAUUUAGUGAAAUAUCACAAACCUAAUGAGUGAAUUAGCGAAUUGUUUCCCUUUGAAAUCAACACGCCAUUAUCGGUGGAUACAUGUCUGAAACUGGGUCAGAGAAUACAUGCAGUUAUUGCUCUGAAUAUACGCGGAUAUUUAAAAUGCAUGGCGGAUUUAAUAAUUGUUAUGGAUAACCUCCAGCAGUAAGAAAUAUAAAGGCUCACUGCAGUUUUGAGUGCUCAACAAGUAUUGACCCCAUACUAUGCUCAGCAAGUAGGGCCCUUGUAUUUCUGUGAAUCCUCAUGCAGUACAGUACUGCUGUUGGAAGAGGAGCAAACAGUGUGGUAUCUAUGGUCCACCAUCACUUCAAGCAUCAUGGCUAUGGAGAAAAGAAUGUUUCAUUACAUAUGGACAAUUAUAGUGGACAAAAUAAGAAAAGUGUUGUAAUAAGCUAUGGAAUGUGGCUUGUUAUGAUGGGUCUGCAUGAUGGCUUGGAGUACAACCUGAUUGAGGCCCGGCAUACAGAAUUCAGCCCGGAACAUGUUUAGAAUGUCUUCUGCAUGACCUGGUAUAGAUAGUAUUCUUGAAGGAUUAUAACUUCAACACAGAGACGGACAUUAAUACUUUUAGGCAGGAGGUUGGCAUGAUAGGCAAAUUCACCAACCGUAUUACCAUUCCUGAGCUGGAUGCCAGUCGACAGUGGUACCUGUAUAAUGAAAUAGCGCCCCUUUGCAGCAACAGCAAUGUAUGCUCAAAACCAGCAGUGUCAAAGCCAUUAAAAUUAGAAUGAAUGGAAAAAAGUGUUUAACAUUUAAAGUAAUACAGAGAAAGAGCUCUGAAAUUUUGAUUAAUUUGAAAGUGUUUUUGAUUUUUUGAAGAUGUACUAGACCCAAAUUCCAUAUAUUUGAAAAAGAACAAAUGAUACAUACAGUUUAUGUAAACAUUGAAUUAACAACUUUAUGGUGUCAACAGUACUAUGCAUUUGUUAAAUAUUGACUCACUAUAUACAUGUAAGGCUGAACACAGUAUUAAUGUGAAAUUCCUCUAAAACGCUGGAAGAUUUUGCAACAAUAAUUGUAACAUAUAUGGUAGUAAUGUACAUUUUUUUUUCAUUACGACAGUUGGAUUAUAUAGAUCUACGAAUAUUUUCUGCUGUAUUCAAACUGCAUGUAAUCAUUUCUGUCGGCAGUAUCAUGUUUAUUUUCCCUUUUCAUGAACAAUUAAUUUAACCUGUCUUGAAAGCACAAUAUAUAUAUAAUUUGUAAAACAUACAUUGGAUUAUUGUGGAAACAAUUUAGUUUUUGUAUGCCUAAUUAUAUAUUAUUGCCGUUAGUAUCAUCUAACUCUUUUAAUAUGAUCAAGACAUUUAAUAAGGCAGUUUUCUUAAACUAUUACUGUGUGUUAAAUGAGAUUAUGUAGUAUUAUGUUUACUGAAUUAACUGCGUAACCAUGGAAACAUUUUUCUGUUGUUCUAUAUUAUGUCUUGUAAAAAACAUUGUUUGAAGAACACUUUUCAGUGGUGCAUUUUUUUAAAUUUUUACAUGUAAUGGUAAAUGCUGAAAGUGUUCUACAAUAACUUAGCAAAAAGGUCAUUGUUGUCACAUUGAAGCAUAUACUGUAACUCCAUUGUAACCAUAGCAACAGAAAUAUAUUGUAUUAUUUAUGAACAAUGAUCUUCACAAACAAAUUACAUAUGUUAUUUUUCUUAAAGAAUGACCUAAAUUGGUUUUAUUCCAUAAAAAACAGACAUAGCAAAUAUUCUCAUUUUUAUCUCCGUUUCCAUGGCAACCAUAUAUUGUUUUGCCUCAAAUUAUAGGCGUUGCUUAGGGUUAUAUCUUAGCAUAUCUGAAUGUUAAUUAUACGUUCUGAUGUAAUUGUUAUAAGAGAUUUUCGUGUUUCCAUAAAGAAAAUCAAUCGGUUGCCAUGGCAACAGCACAAUUUCAAAUGAAUUAAAAUAUGAGAUUUUGCA